UACGUAGGGUGCAAGCGUUGUCCGGAAUUAUUGGGCGUAAAGAGCUCGUAGGCGGUUUGUCGCGUCUGCUGUGAAAACGCGAGGCUCAACCUCGCGCCUGCAGUGGGUACGGGCAGACUAGAGUGCGGUAGGGGAGAUUGGAAUUCCUGGUGUAGCGGUGGAAUGCGCAGAUAUCAGGAGGAACACCGAUGGCGAAGACAGAUCUCUGGGCCGUAACUGACGUGAGGAGCGAAAGACGUGGGGAGCGAACAGG
rnacentral:rRNA from 1 species